CAGAGAUUCCUGCAGGACAGAACACUCAGAGAGGAUAAGGAAACUUUGUACCUGUCUUCUGAACCUCAAGCCAUCCAUCUCUUCAUGUGAUUUUUGUAAUUUCCUUCAUAGUAUAAUAACAGCUGUCGAAGCCACACAGAAGGCUCUGUGCAGACUGUGGUCUUAUUGUCUGUCCCCUGGAGAGCUUCUGAGACCCAGUGAUGUUGAGUUCCUAGGACACGAGAACAUUGUGACAUUUUGCCAAAUUUUUCCAGUCUAAAAAAAAAGAAAAAGAAAAGAUUCUUUUGCUGGAGAAAUUCUGUGAUAGCUGCUAAUGAAGGGAGAGACUGGACAAGGAAGAGGAAGACACAGCGCCACACACAAGUCACCAGGCCAGCCCCGACUCUCUCGGGAGCACGUUCCCAAGAUGAAACGAGGCUUUGCUCUUCCCAAGCCCCUCUCCCCCCAACACCAUUUUCUUUUUUUGUUUCCUGCUCUGGCUUCUGCCAUUCUGUCUAGAAUUGAGGCACUGAAAGGCUAAUGUGGUGGGGUUUGUUUUUCGUUUUUUGUUUUUUGUUUUUUUGUUUUUUUGUUUUUGAGGAGGGGGAGAUGUUGGGACAGGGUUUCAUUCUGUAGCCCAGGUUGGCCUUCAACCCAUGGAGAUCUUCCAGUUGCAGCUCCCUGAAUGCUGGGUACUGGUGUAAGCCACCAUAUCUGGCCUAAUGGGUUUUUGUGUUGCUAACAAUUCUAUGUUCAGUUGACAUCUGAAAUUUACCUGCAGAAAAAAAAUUGGAAAUUGAAGCAGGAGGAUUAGGAGUUCAAAACCAUCCUCAGAGCAUAACAUGGUAGAGUUUAUUUGUUAUCCCAGCACUCAGACACUGGAGGGAGGGUCAGGAGCUGGGGCUAUAGAGAUUUCAAGACCAGCCUGGGUGGGAGACCUAGACUUAAAAUAAAUAAAUAAACCAAGAAACAAA